AGGGAUUGAAGGUGAAGGCUUAGCUCUGUUGUAGCAGAGUUUCAGAGGUUGAAUCUCUGCUCAACAAUGGAGAUGAGCGUAUAGUGAUGGUGAGGGUGAGGUUUGGUGAUGAACGGUUGAGAAGAUGAAGAAGGUUGUGGAGAGUGAUAAGGAUCAAUGAAGAGAAAAUGGUCGUGAGGCCCUUUGAAGUGUGGUGAUUCUGAUUUAUAGAGGUUGAAGGACUGCCAGUGGAUUAAUAGGCUUGGUUUAGGGACUUUAAACUCGAAGCGGGCUCGGUUUCAGAUUGAUUGUGAAGCAUAAGUUCCAGGGAUGUACAGCAGGUCGAACAACAAGGUGCCGCAAGCUUAGCUCGGGCUAUCAUGACUUGAUGUAAGUGAAGUUUUAGAAAUGGACCAAAGUUAUGCAGGCUGAUUGAGGCCACGAAGGGAAUCAGGUCAUGCUUGGAAACUCUUAGAAGCUUUGUUGGACAUGGAGCAAAAUGAAGAUUAAAAGGAAAUGGGUCAAUUAAAAAAAGCAACAAGUUUUAGGAGGUCAAUUGUAGAAGGUUAAUGGUCUUCGGUUCUGGUCAAAGUCAAUGGUCAACAGUUGACCGAAAGUCAACUGUUGACUUUAGUCAACUCUUGUAUUUUAUUUUUUUUUGGUAUAAUUUGUUGUAUUCGAAAUGAAUGGAAUUUUGACCAAUGGUAAUGAGAGGUGAACAUCCUCGUAAA